rnacentral:rRNA from 1 species
GAUCCUGGCUCAGAUUGAACGCUGGCGGCAUGCCUUACACAUGCAAGUCGAACGGCAGCACGGACUUCGGUCUGGUGGCGAGUGGCGAACGGGUGAGUAAUACAUCGGAACGUGCCUGGUAGUGGGGGAUAACUACUCGAAAGAGUGGCUAAUACCGCAUGAGAUCUACGGGUGAAAGCAGGGGAUCGCAAGACCUUGUGCUACUAGAGCGGCCGAUGGCAGAUUAGGUAGUUGGG